AUUGAACGCUGGCGGCAUGCUUUACACAUGCAAGUCGAACGGUAACAGCACUUCGGUGGCUGACGAGUGGCGAACGGGUGAGUAAUACAUCGGAACGUGCCUAGUAGUGGGGGAUAACUACUCGAAAGAGUAGCUAAUACCGCAUGAGAUCUAAGGAUGAAAGCAGGGGACCUUCGGGCCUUGCGCUACUAGAGCGGCUGAUGGCAGAUUAGGUAGUUGGUGGGAUAAAAGCUUACCAAGCCGACGAUCUGUAGCUGGUCUGAGAGGACGACCAGCCACACUGGGACUGAGACACGGCCCAGACGCCUACGGGAGGCAGCAGUGGGGAAUUUUGGACAAUGGGCGCAAGCCUGAUCCAGCAAUGCCGCGUGCAGGAUGAAGGCCUGCGGGUUGUAAACUGCUUUUGUACGGAACGAAAAGCCCUCUUCUAAUACAGGAGGGUCAUGACGGUACCGUAAGAAUAAGCACCGGCUAACUACGG
rnacentral:rRNA from 1 species